CCCUUGAAGACGACGAGGUAGAUAGGGCAGAGGUGGAAGUGUGGUAACACAUGGAGCUGACUGUUACUAAUCGGGUGAGGGCUUGACCAA
rnacentral:rRNA from 1 species